rnacentral:siRNA from 1 species
CGGUAAAAAGUGUGGCAUAAACC